UACGAAGGGGGCUAGCGUUGUUCGGAAUUACUGGGCGUAAAGCGCGCGCAGGCGGUCUUCCAAGUCAGUGGUGAAAGCCCGGGGCUCAACUCCGGAACUGCCAUUGAAACUGUUGGACUUGAGUACGAGAGAGGUGAGUGGAAUUCCCAGUGUAGAGGUGAAAUUCGUAGAUAUUGGGAAGAACACCGGUGGCGAAGGCGGCUCACUGGCUCGUAACUGACGCUCAGGCGCGACAGCGUGGGGAGCAAACAGG
rnacentral:rRNA from 1 species